AGCGAGCGGCGGACGGGUGAGUAACACGUGGGUAACCUGCCCAAGAGACUGGGAUAACACCUGGAAACAGAUGCUAAUACCGGAUAACAACACUAGACGCAUGUCUAGAGUUUAAAAGAUGGUUCUGCUAUCACUCUUGGAUGGACCUGCGGUGCAUUAGCUAGUUGGUAAGGUAACGGCUUACCAAGGCAAUGAUGCAUAGCCGAGUUGAGAGACUGAUCGGCCACAUUGGGACUGAGACACGGCCCAAACUCCUACGGGAGGCAGCAGUAGGGAAUCUUCCACAAUGGACGCAAGUCUGAUGGAGCAACGCCGCGUGAGUGAAGAAGGGUUUCGGCUCGUAAAGCUCUGUUGGUAGUGAAGAAAGAUAGAGGUAGUAACUGGCCUUUAUUUGACGGUAAUUACUUAGAAAGUCACGGCUAACUACGUGCCAGCAGCCGCGGUAAUACGUAGGUGGCAAGCGUUGUCCGGAUUUAUUGGGCGUAAAGCGAGUGCAGGCGGUUCAAUAAGUCUGAUGUGAAAGCCUUCGGCUCAACCGGAGAAUUGCAUCAGAAACUGUUGAACUUGAGUGCAGAAGAGGAGAGUGGAACUCCAUGUGUAGCGGUGGAAUGCGUAGAUAUAUGGAAGAACACCAGUGGCGAAGGCGGCUCUCUGGUCUGCAACUGACGCUGAGGCUCGAAAGCAUGGGUAGCGAACAGGAUUAGAUACCCUGGUAGUCCAUGCCGUAAACGAUGAGUGCUAAGUGUUGGGAGGUUUCCGCCUCUCAGUGCUGCAGCUAACGCAUUAAGCACUCCGCCUGGGGAGUACGACCGCAAGGUUGAAACUCAAAGGAAUUGACGGGGGCCCGCACAAGCGGUGGAGCAUGUGGUUUAAUUCGAAGCAACGCG
rnacentral:rRNA from 1 species